UUUUUUUGUUAAACCUUAGGCUAUUGCUUUAUUUAUAGAAUGCUUAACUGUUUUCCCAAAAAGUAGAUGAAAUAUGUUUAAAACCAAAAGGUUUGUACCAAACAGGGCCAAGCAAUGUGGCCAAACAGUCUUCCUAAAGGCGUUCAUUGGGAGGAAUAGCACUCCGAGUCUCCCAUACGAAAUGUACAGGUAAGAUUCUUCAUUUUGCUCCAAGCACUGAACGCACUACAGUUCAUUGUAAUGAUGAUUGUGCAAAGAGUCCGUAGAUGGUAUUCUCAGCGAUUAGUUUCAAGCCAUUUGUGAGUGGUUUAACAAAACUAUUUGAAGCUUUAAAAAGUCUGGCAUCUAUCCAGGAGUCUAAAGCCCAGCCCUUCUGUGACACAGAAUCCAAUAUUUCCCAAAAUGUGGAGCUCUUUUAAAAGUACAAGUUUUUAAACUCCCUUAUCCCUUUAAAUUGUAAGCUCGUUUGGGCAAUGCCCUCUUCACCUACUGUUUUCUACGGUGCUGUGGAAUUUUUUGGUGUUAUGUUAAUAACUGUGAUUAGAAUGUAGAGGAUUUUCAACUAAACAUUGAACUGCACUGCAACAAGGGCCAAGUUUGCUAUAUUUUUGUUAAAAGGCAGAGCUCGGAUAUAAAUCUGCCAAUUUUUCUGAUAUAUCUCUUAUGCCGCAAGCUGAGCAAACAUCUGUUUAGUUUAAUUUUUCCAUCAUUCAGUGGUUAGUUGGUGGUACAUUUGUAGGUUUUAUUCGUUAAACAAAAAAUAUACUAAUUGGCUCGUCAUAUUGUGAUUAGAUAAGUCAAAUGGCAAAUGAUUUAGGUAAACUAGAAAAAUGGUCUGAGCUGACAUUUAAUGUGGAUAAGUGCAAGAUAAUGCAUCUUGGACGUAAAAACCCAAGGGCAGAGUACAGAAUAUUUGAUAGAGUCCUAACCGCAACAUAUGAGGAAAGGGAUUUAGGGGUAAUUAUUUCAGAUGACUUAAAGGACCACUAUAGUGCCAGGAAAACAAGUAUGUUUUCCUGGCACAAUAGUGCCCUGAAGGCAGGGCCGGACUGGCCCACCGGGAUACCGGGAAAUUUCCCGGUGGGCCGCGGCACCUGGGGGCCGGCCGCGUUCCUGGGC